rnacentral:rRNA from 1 species
AUUGAACGCUGGCGGCAUGCCUUACACAUGCAAGUCGAACGGCAGCACGGGGCAACCUGGUGGCGAGUGGCGAACGGGUGAGUAAUGCAUCGGAACGUACCUUUCAGUGGGGGAUAACGUAGCGAAAGUUACGCUAAUACCGCAUACUCUGUGAGCAGGAAAGCAGGGGAUCGCAAGACCUUGCGCUGAUUGAGCGGCCGAUGUCAGAUUAGCUAGUUGGUGAGGUAAAGGCUCACCAAGGCGACGAUCUGUAGCGGGUCUGAGAGGAUGAUCCGCCACACUGGAGCUGAGACACGGUCCAGACGCAUACGGGAGGCAGCAGUGGGGAAUUUUGGACAAUGGGGGCAACCCUGAUCCAGCCAUGCCGCGUGAGUGAAGAAGGCCUUCGGGUUGUAAAGCUCUUUCGGCCGGGAAGAAAUCGCACGGGCUAAUACCCUGUGUGGAUGACGGUACCGGAAUAAGAAGCACCGGCUAACUACGUGCCAGCAGCCGCAGUAACAC